AUGAAUUAUGAGUUUAAUAGAUCCUCUUUAGCAGAAAGACGUAUAUUCCUUGCUCAUUAUCAGAUAAUCACUUAUUCCCAAACCUCGUGUGGGACUAAUCAUUUUAAUUUACCAUCUCAUGGAAAACCCUUUUCGUUCCGCUUAGCCCUAUCAGGUAUUUUAGUGAUAGGUUCUGUAGGAACUGGACGAUCCUAUUUGGUAAAAUACCUAACGAAAAAUUACGAUUUUCCUUUCAUUAAGUUACGAGGGCUUCUUAUUCCACAAGAACGAAAGCUAUGA
rnacentral:rRNA from 1 species